rnacentral:rRNA from 1 species
UAGCGAAAGCGAGUCUGAAUAGGGCGUUUAGUAUUUGGUCGUAGACCCGAAACCAGGUGAUCUACCCUUGGUCAGGUUGAAGUUCAGGUAACACUGAAUGGAGGACCGAACCGACUUACGUUGAAAAGUGAGCGGAUGAACUGAGGGUAGCGGAGAAAUUCCAAUCGAACCUGGAGAUAGCUGGUUCUCUCCGAAAUAGCUUUAGGGCUAGCCUCAAGUGAUGAUUAUUGGAGGUAGAGCACUGUUUGGACGAGGGGCCCCUCUCGGGUUACCGAAUUCAGACAAACUCCGAAUGCCAAUUAAUUUAACUUGGGAGUCAGAACAUGGGUGAUAAGGUCCGUGUUCGAAAGGGAAACAGCCCAGACCACCAGCUAAGGUCCCAAAAUAUAUGUUAAGUGGAAAAGGAUGUGGCGUUGCCCAGACAACUAGGAUGUUGGCUUAGAAGCAGCCAUCAUUUAAAGAGUGCGUAAUAGCUCACUAGUCGAGUGACACUGCGCCGAAAAUGUACCGGGGCUAAACAUAUUACCGAAGCUGUGGAUUGUCCUUUGGACAAUGGUAGGAGAGCGUUCUAAGGGCGUUGAAGCAUGAUCGUAAGGACAUGUGGAGCGCUUAGAAGUGAGAAUGCCGGUGUGAGUAGCGAAAGACGGGUGAGAAUCCCGUCCACCGAUUGACUAAGGUUUCCAGAGGAAGGCUCGUCCGCUCUGGGUUAGUCGGGUCCUAAGCUGAGGCCGACAGGCGUAGGCGAUGGAUAACAGGUUGAUAUUCCUGUACCACCUAUAAUCGUUUUAAUCGAUGGGGGGACGCAGUAGGAUAGGCGAAGCGUGCGAUUGGAUUGCACGUCUAAGCAGUAAGGCUGAGUAUUAGGCAAAUCCGGUACUCAUUAAGGCUGAGCUGUGAUGGGGAGAAGACAUUGUGUCUUCGAGUCGUUGAUUUCACACUGCCGAGAAAAGCCUCUAGAUAGAAAAUAGGUGCCCGUACCGCAAACCGACACAGGUAGUCAAGAUGAGAAUUCUAAGGUGAGCGAGCGAACUCUCGUUAAGGAACUCGGCAAAAUGACCCCGUAACUUCGGGAGAAGGGGUGCUCUUUAGGGUUAACGCCCAGAAGAGCCGCAGUGAAUAGGCCCAAGCGACUGUUUAUCAAAAACACAGGUCUCUGCUAAACCGUAAGGUGAUGUAUAGGGGCUGACGCCUGCCCGGUGCUGGAAGGUUAAGAGGAGUGGUUAGCUUCUGCGAAGCUACGAAUCGAAGCCCCAGUAAACGGCGGCCGUAACUAUAACGGUCCUAAGGUAGCGAAAUUCCUUGUCGGGUAAGUUCCGACCCGCACGAAAGGCGUAACGAUUUGGGCACUGUCUCAACGAGAGACUCGGUGAAAUCAUAGUACCUGUGAAGAUGCAGGUUACCCGCGACAGGACGGAAAGACCCCGUGGAGCUUUACUGUAGCCUGAUAUUGAAAUUCGGCACAGCUUGUACAGGAUAGGUAGGAGCCUUUGAAACGUGAGCGCUAGCUUACGUGGAGGCGCUGGUGGGAUACUACCCUAGCUGUGUUGGCUUUCUAACCCGCACCACUUAUCGUGGUGGGAGACAGUGUCAGGCGGGCAGUUUGACUGGGGCGGUCGCCUCCUAAAAGGUAACGGAGGCGCUCAAAGGUUCCCUCAGAAUGGUUGGAAAUCAUUCAUAGAGUGUAAAGGCAUAAGGGAGCUUGACUGCGAGACCUACAAGUCGAGCAGGGUCGAAAGACGGACUUAGUGAUCCGGUGGUUCCGCAUGGAAGGGCCAUCGCUCAACGGAUAAAAGCUACCCCGGGGAUAACAGGCUUAUCUCCCCCAAGAGUUCACAUCGACGGGGAGGUUUGGCACCUCGAUGUCGGCUCAUCGCAUCCUGGGGCUGUAGUCGGUCCCAAGGGUUGGGCUGUUCGCCCAUUAAAGCGGUACGCGAGCUGGGUUCAGAACGUCGUGAGACAGUUCGGUCCCUAUCCGUCGUGGGCGUAGGAAAUUUGAGAGGAGCUGUCCUUAGUACGAGAGGACCGGGAUGGACAUACCUCUGGUGUACCAGUUGUCGUGCCAACGGCAUAGCUGGGUAGCUAUGUGUGGACGGGAUAAGUGCUGAAAGCAUCUAAGCAUGAAGCCCCCCUCAAGAUGAGAUUUCCCAACUUCGGUUAUAAGAUCCCUCAAAGAUGAUGAGGUUAAUAGGUUCGAGGUGGAAGCAUGGUGACAUGUGGAGCUGACGAAUACUAAUCGAUCGAAGACUUAAUCAA